UAAAGGGCCUCCGUUAAAUACUUGGUUUCUCAUGUCAUACGUCAGAGAUAAAAUUCAGUACAUUACCGAAAAGACAGUAACUGACAAAAACGGGCGAUAUUUACUAAACUCUUCAAUAAGGAGGUAUAUAAUUGUUAAUAGACCAACGAAGUUCAGACAAGUUAGGAGACAGAGACAUAUUAUAUGAAAGAUACAAGUUAAUACAGGUGUAAUGAAUGACAAUACAGCCUGGGUUCCAAGAUUCCUCCAAAAUCCUGAGGUAGAUGACCAGAAGAAAUGGAUGAAAGGAUGGGUUGAGAGUGAGGAAGACCUCCAGACCGUACUAGAGGCUCAUAGAAGAGCAUCUCUAAGUACCUUUGUGACAUGGUCAGAUGACCCAAAGAAAAAGAAAAAAACAGAGAGAAGGAUUCUAUGGAAAUAUGGAGAUGUCGACAUACAUAAAGGCAGUAUGCCAUUCUCUGUAAAAAGAACUAUAAUGUAUACCUGCCAAUAUGGAAAGCCAAGAAGAAAAAAAUGAAGAGAAUGAUCACCAGUACAUAAAAAAAAAAAAGAUUCCUGAUACAAACAACCAAAAAGGUUGGUUGUGAGGCCAAACUUGUAGUAAGAUAUAUUACCAGACCUACAAACAGAUGUGACAUGUGUGCUCCAGUUUGCAGUUAAGAAAUCCUUCGUCUUAGAAAAAGUUAAAGAAUUUCUGUUUUCAAUUGACGACCUACACUAUCAGUCUCUGUUGACCGAAGCACAGAGGUCAGAACAGUGUCAAUCUGCAGAUAUGACUGAAAGAAUUGGUGCAGCUGUAUUACGUGAUGUUUGUGCACAUGAAGAAGAAACUGAAGCAUUGUUAAUUUCAUUGAAAGCCAUAGCCCCAAGUAACCAACUAGAAACUGUGCAAUACAGACUUGUCUAUAUGAUUUUGGAGAACUUGGCUGUCCAGGAGGUGAUUUGAAUUACACCAGCAAAAGAUCCAAGAUUAAAACAGGCCAAAAUUGACAAAUGUAUACAGGAACAUCUCAAAGGUUCAAAAUCCACAGUCAGCUUCAUCAAAGAAGCGAUAAAAUUAAAGAAAAAGGCACAGCUUAAUGCAGACUGUUCAGAAUGCUAUCCUGGAGGAGGUUUGAUAAAUCCUAAGGGAAAAAACUUGUGUUUUGCAAAUGCACUUCUGCAGUGCAUGAGAAUUGCUGAUCUUCAUAGAAUUCUACAGUAUCACACAGCUUGUACAGAUGAAGACAGCUGUUUCACAUGCAGCUUAAAAAAAUCAUGACAGAAGGUUCCAUAACUGCAGAGCCUGUAUGCAGGAAAAUGACAAGCAUUUGGAGUUCUUAUAAAGAAGGUCAGCAACAAGAUUCACACGAGCUGCUGCAUAUAAUGAUGCAAGAGAUUAAGGAGAAAUGCUUUGGGUCAGACAAUACUUUAUAUAGUGAAGAAAAAAGAUUGUUUUAUGGGCAGGAGAAGAGCUUGUUGAAUUGUAACAGUUGUCAAGCUGCAUCCUCAACAAAAGCUGCAUUUUCCUCAUUUAGCUUGCCCAUUGAAAAGCAUCAGAAUAUUGCUGAAGCCAUUGGAGGCUAUUUUAAAAGUGAACAAGUUGAAAGGAAAUGUGAUUUGCCUUCUUUAUAAACCACAAAAAAUAAAAGAAAAAGUUAGUGAACUGUAUGGCGUAAUCGUACACAAAGGAAAUACUCUGUCUAAUGGCCAUUACUAUGCCUUUAUAUUAUUUGGUACACAGUGGUAUCUUGUGGAUGACAUGCAGGCUAGUUUAAUGAAGAAAUGUAUACCAGAUGAAUAGAAAAAAGAGAUUUGAUUUGUCCUGUUAUCAUAAUGAUCUUGUCAUAAAUUUUGAAUAUUAGUGAUGUGUUUCUGAGAACAAUAAGAUAUAUUAAACAUCCUUUGUAUAAAUAAUACUCAGUGAUAGAAAAUUCUGCCAAUGUAGAGAUUUCUUGAUGAGUCCAAAACGUUUAAGAAUAUACAAUCACUAGGUUAAUGGACAGAAAGUCAGAGGACAAAAAUUCAAAGGACAUAAAGUAAUGAAUUUGAUAGGACAAAAUGUCACAUGUAUUUUUUUGAGAAUCGUUUAAAUGUAUCUUGAAAUAUUCCAUUUUAAAACAUAUACAUGUAUUCAUUUUUUUAAGUAAAGGAAAUUGCUCAUGAUAAUACACCUUGAUAAAUGUAAAUAUAUUAAAUUUUAAUCAUGAAAGGAUAUUUUUAAAAAUUGGCAAAAUUAACCCAUUUAAAUUUUAGUACCAAGCCCUUUUGAUAUUUUGUUUUCCUAACAAUUAUUUGAUCAUUUUCAUAUUUAUUAGAAAUUUGUAUAAUCAAAAUUGAUUCACAUAUAAAACUUCAAGAAAAUUGAAAAAAAACUAAAUUCUAAAUAAGUUUUAUUGGUUCAAAGAAAGAUAAUCUCAAAACUGAGACUCUUUGUCCUAUGACUACCUGUCUGUGACUUUUUCGGUGACUUCUUGUCCAGUGACUUUCUGUCCUACAUUCAAUCACAAUCCUGAACUUAUUAUGACAACUCAUGUGUGGGAUUAUUGAUAAGAUUUGUUAAUAUGAAAUAUAACAUCUAUAGAAUCCCAAAUGAAGAUUUGUAAGGAGGAUAAUAAUUAUUAUUACUAUUACUUUGUUUAUAAUUUAAAACUGCUUUGUUUUUUUGAUGGGGUCACAUUGAUUUGAAUAUGCAGCUGAAUUUUAGACACAACUGCUAUAUUCAUUUUGAAAGUAUAUAUAAAUAUUCAAACAAAUAUAAUUGUAAGAAAAUAUGAGGGGUGGUAUCAAAUUCAAUGAAAAAAAAACAGUCCAGCAGAGACCACAUGACAUUGAGGUUAAAUUUCACAUUUGCAUUUUUAUUUUAUUUUGUAAUAAAAUUAUAAU